rnacentral:tRNA from 1 species
GUUUCUAUAGUUGAAUUACAACGAUGGUUUUUCGUAUCAUUGGUCCUGGUUAAAGUCCGGGUAGGAAUU